rnacentral:rRNA from 1 species
GAUCAUGGCUCAGGAUGAACGCUAGCUACAGGCUUAACACAUGCAAGUCGAGGGGCAGCAUGACCUAGCAAUAGGUUGAUGGCGACCGGCGCACGGGUGAGUAACACGUAUCCAACCUACCGGUUAUUCCGGGAUAGCCUUUCGAAGAAAGAUUAAUACCGGAUAGUAUAACGAGAAGGCAUCGUUCUUGUUAUUAAAGAAUUUCGAUAACCGAUGGGGAUGCGUUCCAUUAGUUUGUUGGCGGGGUAACGCCCG